rnacentral:rRNA from 1 species
UACGGGGGGGCAAGGCGUUGUUCGGAAUUACUGGGCGUAAAGGCUCGUAGGCGGCCAACUAAGUCGGAUGUGAAAUCCCCAAGCUUAACUUGGGAACUGCAUCCGAUACUGGAUGGCUUGAAUCCGGGAGAGGGAUGCAGAAUUCCAGGUGUAGCGGUGAAAUGCGUAGAUAUCUGGAGGAAUACCGGUGGCGAAGGCGGCAUCCUGGACCGGCAUUGACGCUGAGGAGCGAAAGCUAGGGGAGCAAACGGGG